CAGCACGACUCAAGUUGAGUUUGAAACACCGUUUGUGGUUCGGGACAUUAUUCUCUAUCCACUGGUGACCAUGGACAACCUUUUCCUGGCCGACCUCGAGUACGCUCCUACUUUGUGGACACCAUCUGCUCCACGUUGCCUCCCGCUAACAGCCGAGGACUUUAAGGAACUUCAACAAAGAUAAGACGACAACACGCAGACGAAGCAGAGACGAGGCAAAAUCACAAGGACCAGCACGUUCCGUCAUGUAUUGUGCAUACUGGAGCUGCUUUGCAUGAUAUAUGUGACCACUUCUUUUAGAGGCGGCCUCAGUGAUGUUGACUGGGGAACUCCUGAAUAAAUAGAGGGACGCGGGAGCUGAACCUUAGAGCGUAGGGCAAGACUGCGACUAAGUGUGCAGCUCCAUGCGUUCUCCUCAUGAUCUAAAUUGAACUUUGUCUC